UACAGGCAUGAACCACUAUACCCAUCCCUAAGCGCUGGGAAUUGAUCUGGCAGGACCUUGCCACCAUGCCUAUCCUGUCAGCCAAGUGUUUAUGACUGUAGAGGCAUUAGUGCCUUUGUUGGCAGGACUGGGGACUGGGGUUCAGCUUUGAGGUUGUGGUUGGUGUGAUAGGAUGAGCUAUUGACAUGAUUCACCACCACAGUGUUCAUGGCUGGGGAAGUGUUUGUCCUUUCCCUGGGGUAAUUGGUGUGGGCGAGGCUGGGGUCCAAGUCUUGCAACUGACUGGAGUUGAUUGCCUUGCGUACUUAGCAGUGGCUCUUUUCCAUGGAUAUUUGCAGGAGACCCGUUCCUUUUUGGGAGAUGGCUUGUACAGAAUGACCAGAGACAAGGCAAAUGGUUGCUCGUAAGAAGGCCUGCCGUCUUUUUCUUGCAUUUUCCUUUCCGAGCCCAGUGUCCGAUGUGUGCUGCUUGCAGGCACCCACACAGCUGCACGGGGCUCCCCAGCUCACAGGUCAAGCGCAUCAGGCUUAGAGAGACCAGAGCAAUAGCACAGCUCGCAGAAUUCCCGUGUCAUGUCAUCUGCAGUGUCAGUGUGUGGGGAGCUUUGGGAACCUCUUAGGACUACUUUAUUUUGCUUCAAAGUGUGAGACCUCGUUGGAUGGCUAAGUGCUGUCAGUCAUGCAUUUGGCCAUAAAACAUUUAUCUGAUAGAAAGUCUCAGGGGGAAAAGUUAACAUCGCUUCACUUCUGUGCUGUAAAUAGAUGACGCUUUCACGAUGGUGGCGCUAUGGACAGAGUCUCAGAAAAACUAGAAAGCAGCAAACUUGCCUCAAGAACAGAAUGCUCGACUAGGGAGUAGCAGACCUUGGUUCUCAUCCCAGCUCUGUCAGCUGUGUGACUGCCGGAAGGUCACAUCUUUUCUGAGCUUCUGUUUGCUUAUCUAUAAUGAUAUCUCCCUUACAGAACUGCUGAGAGGUACCUCGAGUGUGCAACAGCACAUUGUCAAUUAGAACCUUUCUAUUGAGGUACUUGCUAUGAUGCAUCUACAUAUAAAAUGAGGGAGUCAGGGCAGUGAACUUUGGACUUUUCCAAGCUCCAGGACACUGACUCCUGGGAGCAGGGAGAGGAACAGAGGGGUCUGAGCACAUCACACAGGCAUGUUUGGUUAGCUGUGCAAACAAGCUGGAUGGCAGCAUCCUCUGUUUCUAUUAAACUUCAAAACUUAUUUGUGAGAUGUGGAUUUGGGAGCUGCACUGAGGCAGAAACAGAAGAGAGAGGAAUGAAAAAACAUCAAGAAUCAUCCAGUCAUCCUCACCGUGAGGAACAGUUGAAAGGAAUCAGUGUGGCGCAGGAAGGAUAACAGCGCCAGAGAUAGCCACCAAAUAUCUUGUUCAUUGGCAAGAACAAAAACAAAACAAAACCCAAAAUGUGCUGAAAAAUA